AUGAUAUGAUCUGCGCAAGCUGCAUGGGAUCUCUUGUAUCAAAAGCCAUGGCUGUUUUGUAACCGCGAUCUUGUGAACAUCAAAAAUUGUCAGGAAAACACAGCAC